rnacentral:rRNA from 1 species
GAGAGCUUGCUCUUAUCCUAGAGUGGCGGACUGGUGAGUAACGCGUGGGUGACGUACCCUUUAGACGGGGAUAGCUUUUAGAAAUAAGAGAUAAUACCGGAUAAGCUCUUUAUUGUCAGAGGGUAAAGAGGAAAGCUUCUUUUGAAGCGCUGAAGGAACGGCCCGCGUACUAUUAGUUAGUUGGUGAGGUAACGGCCCACCAAGGCGAUGAUAGUUACCCGGCCUAAGAGGGUGAUCGGGCACAUUGGGACUGAGAUACGGCCCAGACUCCUACGGGAGGCAGCAGCUAAGAAUAUUCCGCAAUGGGGGAAACCCUGACGGAGCGACGCCGCGUGGAUGAUGAAGGCCGGAAGGUUGUAAAAUCCUUUUAUACGUGAGGAAUAAGUGGAGUGAGAGAAACGCUUCAUGGUGACUGUAGCGUAUGAAUAAGCAACGGCUAAUUACGUGCCAGCAGCCGCGGUAACACGUAAGUUGCGAGCGUUGUUCGGAAUUAUUGGGCGUAAAGGGCAUGUAGGCGGUAAUGCAAGUCUGGUGUGAAAGGCGGGAGCUCAACUCCCGGACUGCGUUGGAAACUGCAUUACUUGAGUGACUGAGGGGCAAUCAGAAUUCCUGGUGUAGGGGUGAAAUCUGUAGAUAUCAGGAAGAAUACCAAUGGCGAAGGCAGG